GGGGAAUAUUGCACAAUGGGCGCAAGCCUGAUGCAGCAACGCCGCGUGCGGGAUGACGGCCUUCGGGUUGUAAACCGCUUUCAGCAGGGACGAAGCUUUUUGUGACGGUACCUGCAGAAGAAGCACCGGCUAACUACGUGCCAGCAGCCGCGGUGAUACGUAGGGUGCGAGCGUUGUCCGGAUUUAUUGGGCGUAAAGGGCUCGUAGGCGGUUGAUCGCGUCGGAAGUGGAAACUUGAUGCUUAACGUUGAGCGUGCUUUCGAUACGGGUUGACUUGAGGAAGGUAGGGGAGAAUGGAAUUCCUGGUGGAGCGGUGGAAUGCGCAGAUAUCAGGAGGAACACCAGUGGCGAAGGCGGUUCUCUGGACCUUUCCUGACGCUGAGGAGCGAAAGCGUGGGGAGCGAACAGGCUUAGAUACCCUGGUAGUCCACGCUGUAAACGGUGGGUACUAGGUGUGGGGUCCAUUCCACGGAUUCUGUGCCGUAGCUAACGCAUUAAGUACCCCGCCUGGGGAGUACGGCCGCAAGGCUA
rnacentral:rRNA from 1 species